rnacentral:rRNA from 1 species
UAAAAUUGGGGAAUUUCCCUUAGUACGGCGAGUGACCGGGAUGAGCUCAAAUUUAAAAUCUGGCGUCUUUCAGGCGUCCGAGUUGUAAUCUAUAGAGGCGUUUUCCGCGCCGGACCGCGUCCAAGUCUCUUGGAAUAGAGUAUCAAAGAGGGUGACAAUCCCGUACUUGACGCGACAACCGGUGCUCUGUGAUACGUUCUCAAUGAGUCGAGUUGUUUGGGAAUGCAGCUCUAAAUGGGUGGUAAAUUCCAUCUAAGGCUAAAUAUUGGCGAGAGACCGAUAGCGAACAAGUACCGUGAGGGAAAGAUGAAAAGCACUUUGGAAAGAGAGUUAAACAGCACGUGAAAUUGUUAAAAGGGAAACGAUUGAAGUCAGUCGUGUGAAAGGUAUUCAGCCGUCUCUGGCGGUGUAUUUGCCUUUCACGGGUCAACAUCAGUUUGAUCCGGUAGAAAAAGGCGGGAGGAAGGUGGCACCCUCGGGUGUGUUAUAGCCUCCUGUCAUAUGUGCCGGACCAGACUGAGGAACGCAGCUUGCCGCAAGGCCGGGGUUCGCCCACGUACAAGCUUAGGAUGUUGACAUAAUGGCUUUAAACGACCCGUCUUGAAACACGGACCA